rnacentral:lncRNA from 1 species
GCACGCGUCAAUAAAGGUAUGCAAAGAAAUUUAAUAAGGCAUGUGACGAUGGGGCCCACUGCGUACCCGACUUGCAUUAUUAAAGUUUUCUUUCUUAUCCUUUAUCAAAAGUGUCGGCCAACUAUACUUAGGCCACGUAGCAGUUUUAUAACCACUCUUUCGUGUAAAUUUUUGCCUAUAAAAGGCACUCAUUUGUAGUAGCAAAAGGGACAGAGAAGCAAGAACCAACUCCACAUCUCCUUGUAAUGUUUAGCCCCUUUCUCCCAAACAACCUGUCUACCUACAACCAGUAAAUUUUCCAUUGUA